GAUGAACGCUAGCGGCAGGCUUAAUACAUGCAAGUCGAGGGGCAGCAUGGUGUAGCAAUACACUGAUGGCGACCGGCAAACGGGUGCGGAACACGUACAGAACCUUCCUUCGAGCGGGGAAUAGCCCAGAGAAAUUUGGAUUAAUACCCCAUAGUAUAUUGAAAAGGCAUCUUUUUAAUAUUAAAGAUUUAUCACUUGAAGAUGGCUGUGCGGCUGAUUAGGUAGUUGGCGGGGUAACGGCCCACCAAGCCUGCGAUCAGUACCUGGUGUGAGAGCACGACCAGUAACACAGGCACUGAGACACGGGCCCGACUCCUACGGGAGGCAGCAGUAAGGAAUAUUGGUCAAUGGACGAAAGUCUGAACCAGCCAUGCCGCGUGGAGGAUGAAGGUCCUCUGGGUUGUAAACUUCUUUUAUAUGGGACGAAAAAAGGCUUUUCUAAGUCGUCUGACGGUACCAUAUGAAUAAGCACCGGCUAACUCCGUGCCAGCCGCCGCUGUAACAC
rnacentral:rRNA from 1 species